CGCACCUUGCGCUCCUUGGUAUUCCGAGGAGCAUGCCUGUUUGAGUGUCAUUAAAUUCUCAACUCCUCCAGCUUUUGCAAGUUGGCUCAGGAGCUUGGAUAUGGAGGUUUUGCUGGCUGUUAUGGUCAGCUCCUCUGAAAUGCAUUAGCGGAACUGUUUGCGAUCCGUCACUGGUGUGAUAAUUAUCUACGCCGUGUGGUUGCUCUCUAUUUGUUCAGCUGCUAAUCGUCCUAGAUGGACAAUUAUUUUGAAUACUUGACCUCAAAUCAGGUAGGACUACCCGCUGAACUUAA
rnacentral:misc_RNA from 1 species